AAGUCAUAACAAGGUUUCCGUAGGUGAACCUGCGGAAGGAUCAUUAAUGAUGCCCUCGAAGUCUUUGGACUGGUAGGGUUUGUGUCGCUCUCUUCGGAGUCGACCUUAUCUCACACACCGUGAACUGUGGCUUCGGCCAUUUACACAAACUGUUAGUAAUGAAUGUAACAUCAUAACAAACAUAAAACUUUUAACAACGGAUCUCUUGGCUCUC
rnacentral:misc_RNA from 1 species